CUGUUUUCUCCAACUAUAGCCUAUCAACUUCUAAAAGUCAUUGUAACUUGAAAUCAAUGUUUAGUAUAAGUGGGAGAUGAUGGAAUACUCUGUUGCAUCAUUAAAGUCAUUGUAACUUGAAAUCAAUGUUUAGUUUUGCACUUCAUAAACUAUAGCCUAUCAACUUCAACCACCAAUCGGAAUGCAAACCUAAGGGUAGGACGAAAUCAGAAUCUAUUGCCUUCAACCGAAAUCCCCAAUUCCAAAAAUCCCCUUCCCUAUGACGAACGGGGAAAGUAGAAGCACAAAACAGGAGACUAACCUGAAUGUAGCUC
rnacentral:lncRNA from 1 species